rnacentral:sRNA from 1 species
ACUCAGCGACAAGGAUGCCUGUCCGAAGCCCGGACACGGUGUCAACCCGACCGUCACCGGCUCUCCCAGCGU